CCUGGCGGCGGCCUAGCGCGGUGGUCCCACCUGACCCCAUGCCGAACUCAGAAGUGAAACGCCGUAGCGCCGAUGGUAGUGUGGGGUCUCCCCAUGUGAGAGUAGGGAACUGCCAGGC
rnacentral:rRNA from 1 species